GGUCCCUUGAUUUUGAAAGACCAUUAAACAUUCCGUAGCAAACAUACACCAAACAUAUUUUCUUUAAAAACAGUAAACUUAUCCUGAAGCUUUCAGAUUCUAUAUCAAGAAGAAACCCCAUGUACUUAGACUUGCAUGGUCUAUCUCGAUUUAAUUAGACAUUUGAAGACUUGUAUGACUUAAUCUUUGAUACAAGUAUAUCACAACAGGCAGAAUGAACCAGAUAACAACUUAACCACAACUUCAUAUUUUAUAACCAGAUCAUAACGUUCGAGAUCGUGGCACGUUUGUUGGCGCUAAAAUUUCUGAUGUUCCACAGGUUCCAAGGCUCGUCUCUGCUACUAUUGUGAGCUUAUGUGUUCAAAGGAGGAUACAUUCAUAGGAGGGUGUCGGUUUAUUGGGAUAUAGAAAUGUCUACAAUAAAGGUGGAAAAGUUUAUGAAAACCUGUGGCAGUUGGAGCCAUUAGACGCUGGUUUUGAA